rnacentral:tRNA from 1 species
UGGGUUGUGGUUCAGUGGUAGAGUGCUCACCUAGCAUGUGUGAGGCACUGGGUUUGAUCCUCAGCACCACAU